UACAGAGGUGGCAAGCGUUGUUCGGAAUUACUGGGCGUAAAGGGCGCGUAGGCGGUCUCGUAAGUCCUGUGUGAAAUCCCCCGGCUCAACUGGGGAACUGCACAGGAAACUGCGGGACUUGAAUCCGGGAGAGGGAUGCGGAAUUCCAGGUGUAGCGGUGAAAUGCGUAGAUAUCUGGAGGAACACCGGUGGCGAAGGCGGCAUCCUGGACCGGCAUUGACGCUGAGGAGCGAAAGCCAGGGGAGCAAACGGG
rnacentral:rRNA from 1 species